rnacentral:rRNA from 1 species
CUACGGGCGCAGCAGUGGGGAAUAUUGGACAAUGGGGGAAACCCUGAUGCAGCAACGCCGCGUGGAGGAUGACGCAUUUCGGUGUGUAAACUCCUUUUAUAUGUCAAGAAAAUGACGGUAGCAUAUGAAUAAGCACCGGCUAACUCCGUGCCAGCAGCCGCGGUGAAUACGGAGGGUGCAAGCGUUACUCGGAAUCACUGGGCGUAAAGGACGCGUAGGCGGGUUGGAAAGUCAGGUGUGAAAUCCUACAGCUUAACUGUAGAACUGCACUUGAAACUUCUAAUCUAGAGUAUGGGUGGGGGAGAUGGAAUUAGUGGUGUAGGGGUAAAAUCCGUAGAUAUCACUAGGAAUACCUAAAGCGAAGGCGAUCUCCUGGAACAUUACUGACGCUAAGGCGUGAAAGCGUGGGGAGCAAACAGGAUUAGAUACCCGUGUAGUC